rnacentral:tRNA from 1 species
GCCCGGAUGGUGAAAUUGGUAGACACAAGGGACUUAAAAUCCCUUGGCCCGCAAGGGCCGUGGCGGUUCGACUCCGCCUCCGGGCA